ensembl:snRNA U4 U4 spliceosomal RNA
AGCUUUGCGCACAGGCAGUAUCGUAGCCAAUGAGGUUUAUCCGAGGCGCGAUUAUUGCUAACUGAAAACUUUUCACUUAGCACGAUAAUCUCUAGGUCCAUCCACAUCACUGCUAAUGGCAAAUUUCAUUCUUUUUUAAUG